GCCUGGUUGGCUCAGUGGUUAAGCAUCUGCCUUCAGCUCAGGGCGUGAUCCCGGGGUUCUGGGAUCGAGCCCCACAUCAGGCU
rnacentral:tRNA from 1 species